CUUUGGUUAUUGGAGAAAAAGUGUACACUUAUUGGUGUUGAAUAAAAGGUGUUAGCUAACAAUUUGAAAGUUGAGCUUAUUUUUGUAUGACUAGAUGAUAUAUAAUAUUGUACUAGUUGUUUACUGCGUUGAAGUAUGGAAAACUAGAGUUGCCCGAAAAUGAUUCGUGUGUAAAGUAACAUGAGAAUGAGUCACCAUGCUGGGCUGUUAUGAGGUGCCUUGGGCCAAAUGAAUAUUUAAGGUAUAAUCUUAAGAUGAGGUAUACUCAUCCCAUGAAUUUAUCAUUUGUACUAUGAGAAGUUUCUUGUUUACAAAAACAUCUAGGAUUUUCUAUCAAGGAGACAUUAUGGCUAAUGCCAGACCUA
rnacentral:lncRNA from 1 species